CCUGUUUCCCCUGAAUAAAAUGAUAUAUAAUAAGGGUGGGUACAUUUAAUAUGAAAGAGGUGAAUUACGGUUGGACAGACAUGUAGCGCAAAUGCCAGGUUUUGUUUACGUUUUGUUUACAUUUUGUUUCGUUCACAACGUGUACAUUUGGCUCAGUCCUUAAGGGGUUAAUCAGUUCUACAUAGUUUUCACACGAGUUUUAUGUUGACUGAUGCAUAAAAGCCUGCCACAACCAGAUAUGCUAAAAACCCACUCUCACACGAUCCCACAAACCACGGAGUGAGCCCUCAACAGCUGAGAGAGACACAAACCCUUAAACACACAGACAAAUUCCCGG